UCCUGGUGGCUUAGAUGGUAAAAAAUCUGCCUGCAAUGCAGGAGACCUGGGUUCGAUCCCUGGGUUAGGAA
rfam:TPA: Bos taurus chromosome X, whole genome shotgun sequence.